GUUGAACGCUGGCGGCAGGCCUAACACAUGCAAGUCGAACGGUAACAGGAAGCGGCUUGCUGCUUCGCUGACGAGUGGCGGACGGGUGAGUCAUGUCUGGGACACUGCCUGAUGGAGGGGGUUAACUACUGGAAACGGUAGCUAAUACCGCAUAACGUCGCAAGCCCAAAGAGGGGGACCUUAGGGCCUCUUGCCAUCGGCUGUGCCCAGAUGGGAUUAGCUAGUAGGUGGGGUAACGGCUCACCUAGGCGACGAUCCCUAGCUGGUCUGAGAGGAUGACCGGCCACACUGGAACUGAGACACGGUCCAGACUCCUACGGGAGGCAGCAGUGGGGAAUACUGCACAAUGGGCGCAAGCCUGAUGCAGCCAUGCCGCGUGUGUGAAGAAGGCCUUCGGGUUGUAAAGUACUGUCAGCGGGGAGGAAGGGAGUAAAGUUAAUACCUUUGCUCAUUGACGUUACCCGCAGAAGAAGCACCGGCUAACUCCGUG
rnacentral:rRNA from 1 species